rnacentral:rRNA from 1 species
GACGAACCGAGCGAACGUUGUUCGGAAUCACUGGGCUUAAAGGGCGCGUAGGCGGGCUGUCAAGUCUGGGGUGAAAUCCCGCGGCUCAACCGUGGAACUGCCUCAGAUACUGACGGCCUCGAGGGAGGUAGGGGCGAGCGGAACUGUGAGUGGAGCGGUGAAAUGCGUUGAUAUUCACAGGAACUCCGGUGGCGAAGGCGGCUCGCUGGACCUUCUCUGACGCUGAGGCGCGAAAGCUAGGGGAGCAAACGGG